GCUGGAGGACCAACAAUGCUACCUGGGGCUGGCAAACCUUAAAAUGUUAAUUGUGUGUCGCUCACACUCCGUGCUGGGUCUGCAGCAUGUGCCCGUCUCUUUGCUAUGAGGGGGCUUCUCUGAGGGGGGCUUCUCUGUCAUGACCCAGGCCACACAGAGGCCCAUUGGGCAUGUGUGGCGGCCUCCACAUUAGCCACUGCGAUGAGGGUGAGACCUGGAACAGGCCAAAGACCGUCCAAACAGGGUGAUUUAAGGCAUAAUGGAGGCUCGUGGGGGAGGGAGAACCUCCGGAGACACACACACCCAUGGCCUUGAAGAAGCUCCCCCGGAGCGGGACUCCUAUGACACAAACAGCUACAUGACAAGCAGAAGUUCAAGAGGUGAAGCCUUGCGUAUUACGGCACCAGUGAACAACUUGUGGCAAUAAGAAAAGCCAGCUGGGCAGCGUGUUGGUGACAGUUAUAAAGCCACUUUCACCACUAUGCUGGGAGCAGUGUUUGAAUGUCUAAAAAAGAGCUUAAAAUAAAAGUUAUGCAGGCAAACUCCAGAGCAAAAGUCAGAAUUGUGCAAAUGCAGUUCCAGUGUUUGUGCAGGAAUGUUCUUGUGUGGUUGUGUGAACAUUUUUUUUAAAGAGCACGUAACACCUAGAGAUGUACAUAUCAGGUGGUAUAGAUAGACAGACAGAUAGAUAGAUAGAUAGACAGCCUGUGUAGAAUGUCAGCCAUUAGUAGUAGUAGCAGCAGCUGACAUCCUGACAUGGAUUGGUGCUUCUGAAAAAUUCAGCUUAACUCAUCACUGCUAGCUAAGUGGGGGCAAAGUUUGUUGACCUCCCCUUUCCCAGGCAGGGUUCUGUCAUUCAGCCCUGAGGGACAUAUUUUUGGGUGACACAGAGGGCUUCCAUGGGAAAUGAGAGGAAUUCACACAGAAACACACACAUACAUGUACCAGUGCAGUGUUGGUCUGCAACAUUUCUAGGAGAGAGCAUCCAUAAUGAGUGUAAUUAGUUUAAAAUUCCAUACACAGUUCUUUCUGCAAUACUAUGGGUUUGGUGCCCAGUGAAAUCACACAUUGCACAUGCAGGUUCUCAAACGGUGGUAAGUCAAGCAGUAAGCCAGUAACAUCUCAGUGAAAUGUAGGGAUGCGUGGAAGCGUGCCUUCCCAUCGGGCAUGAUGACUGAACAUGACCAACUCCAGUCCUCAUGCUGUAUUACUGACAUUUCAAUUACUUCAAGCUGACUUCUGUAACCAGGAAUUGAAGUUGGUUUGACCAGGUUGGAAAAAUGUCAGCAACACACAUUUUACCAACUAGGAACCGUUCAGGCAUCAUGUCUGAUGGAAGCGGGCACUAAUAUUUUAUCAAGAUCUUACCAGUUGACUGCCAUGCCAAUGGUCAUUAGAAGCCACCCAGGAGGUUGCUACAUAUGUGGUGGCUGUGUGUCUUGAGGUGCAAACAGGUAUACCUACCAACAGGGACUGUUGCUACAAUUCCUCAGUAAGUUUCAAAAGCCAGUGGUGACAAAAGAACUCUAAUAAACUGCUUUUAAAUGUAAACAUCUAUCAUUCUUCUCCUUUUUAUAAAUUAUAAUGUCUGUGUGAUAUGAAAUAGCUGUAUUAAGAAUGCAAGGAAAAUGUCCCUGGAUGCAUUUCAGCCUAUGACUUCAGGAUUUCCAGACUGUCAAACAGAAGAAGGUCCAUUCAAGACCCAAUGGUGUGGAGUGAAAUCAAUUCUCCUCCUUUCAAGGGGCUGCUUGUUAUAUCAUUAAAGAAACUUGAGUGGGAAGGGACUGUGCAGCCUCUUCUAUGAAUUGCAGAAAAAUUACCGGAACAUCUGAUGAACUGGGUUGUAGGCCACAGAAUGGGCUCUACAAACGUUUAUACCACAAUGCCUCUGUUACUAUUUAGAAAUCAUGGCUACAAGACUGCUUAAAAUAAAAAAAAAGUUCCUGUUUAAGAUGCCACAUUACUUUUUGAGUUUGACUUCUUUUGAAAUUAACUUUUUGAGAUUGACACAGAUGCUCAGUCUCAUCCCUAGGGAAAGAAUUUAUUUAAAAUAUUCUGAUAUCUCUUCUUAAUAGUAAUUCAUGUGACUUACAACAUAUUUUAAAUAUCAGACUGUAAAAACAA